UCGGAUUGCAGUCUGCAACUCGACUGCAUGAAGCUGGAAUCGCUAGUAAUCGCGAAUCAGCAUGUCGCGGUGAAUACGUUCCCGGGUCUUGUACACACCGCCCGUCACACCAUGGGAGUCGGAAAUGCCCGAAGCCAGUGACCCAACCUUUAAGGAGGGAGCUGUCGAAGGCAGGUCUGGUAACUGGGGUGAAGUCGUAACAAGGUAUC
rnacentral:rRNA from 1 species